GAACGGGUCGUGACAGAAACAAAUCAGUAUUGAUGGGGUAAUAAUCAAUAGGUUCACCAUUUACAAAACACAUGUUCAUCAGUGUAUCACUUGAGGUUCAUUAAAUAUAUAACACAAGUUUAUAGCUUAUAUAUUUAUUAUUCAUAGGUUACAAUCAAGAGGUUCAUUAUUUACGAGCAAUAAGUUUAUCAAAAUAUCAUUUGAGGUUUAUCAAAAUAUAUAACACAAAUUCAUUAAUCAUAUGU
rnacentral:lncRNA from 1 species